rnacentral:misc_RNA from 1 species
AUUUCUUCACACAUUGCAAGUCCUACUGCCUUCAUUAGCAACAAUAUUGCUGACUAUAUUGGUUAUGCUCAUUAAAUUUUCACAAUAAUGUACUUAACUUGAAUAAUAUGAAUAUCAAGACUAAGUUUUAGCACUCUUUCAACAUUACAAAACACCAUAAAUAAAAGCAAUUUGCAAUGAAACACGGCAUUGUGGCAGUUGACUCUUUUCAGAUAUGCUAAUACAUUUAAUGUGGUAAUUUCCAAAUUUCAUUUAAUUAAAAUUCUAUAACACCCUACAGAUAUUAGAACAAAUUUUCUGGUAAAUUCAUGUGACAAAAUAGGCCCAUCUCUUCUGGUCUAUGCAACAAAAUAGGCCCAUCUCUUCUGGUCUAUGCA